rnacentral:miRNA from 1 species
CCUUGCUGGAGGAAGUGGGUCACUGGGGAUAGGCUUUGAGGUUUUAGAGUCCAGCCCUUCUAGCCUUCAUCACUCCUUAUGCUUCCUCC